UGGGCGUAAAGAGCUCGUAGGUGGUUUGUCGCGUCGUUUGUGGAAGUCCACGGCUUAACUGUGGGACUGCAGGCGAUAGGGCAUAACUUGAGUGCUGUAGGGAGAUGGAAUUCCUGGUGUAGCGGUGAAAUGCGCAGAUAUCAGGAGGAACACCGAUGGCGAAGGCAGGUCUCUGGGCAGUAACUGACGCUGAGGAGCGAAAGCAUGGGGAGCGAACAGGAUUAGAUACCCUGGUAGUCCAUGCCGUAAACGGCGGGCGCUAGGUGUGAGUCCCUUCCACGGGGUUCGUGCCGUAGCUAACGCAUUAAGCGCCCCGCCUGGGGAGUACGGCCGCAAGGCUAAAACUC
rnacentral:rRNA from 1 species